GAGAGAGGCGGGAGAAAAAGAUACAAAGACCGUGAGCGAGCGCCCAGAACAGCCCCGGGCGCACCGGCGGCCGGGCCCCGGCGAAGCGUGGGCUCGACGCGCGUGGAACCCGGGGAACCUCACCAGCCGUGGCAGGCAGCGGCCCGGAGAGCUCCGCACCCGUGGCCUGCGCGGUCAAUCAAUCUCAGUCCCGCACUUUCGCCCCGCCCCUGCCGAAUUCCCACCAAUCCGGGGAGGCCCCGCCCCCGGCCGCACUCCUCCCCCCUUCCCAUUGGCUGCAAGCGUGCCUCCCGCCCUCGCACCUCCCUUCUGCGUCUCACUCAAGUUCCGCGUCCGCCGCCCGCGGGUGGGGCAGCUUCGCUAGGGCCCCGCCUCCUACCGGCUUCCUUGUGCUUUUUUUUUUCUCCCCCACCCCUUUCCGCGAUCACGGUUUUCUGGUACCCAAUAGAAAUGGGCGACAGCGACUUUCGCUUGGCCCGCGUUCCAGGAGAACCGGCCUUUAACCUCUCCUUGAAUUAAUGAGCUCAGGUUCAGCUUCCUCCUAGUUUUUUUUGUUCGUUGUUGGUUUUUUAAUGACCACCACCCCUCCUCCUCCUUCCCGGCCCGGCUGGCCAGCGGCUUGCAGGAAGCCAGCACUUUCCCCGAGCUCCGUAUAGCAGGUUCCCCCCAACACAUUCAGCCAAUCACAUCUGCAGGACCUCGUAUAUAACUUGUCGGGGUCUCUAGGUAAAAGAAGAGUCCAGCCGAGCCGCCCUAGGCACUCAAAUGACACCCGAGGUCCGUAGCAGAUGGAUGGAAUGAGAAAGGACCUGCGAGCUCCCGGCGGAAUUCGCUGGCAGCUGUAGGAGGCUCUGGUGUUUUGGUUUCUUUGACAUUUUCCCUGCUUCAAAGCUGAGAGCGGGAGUCAGGGAUUGGGCGAACUUCAACGUGUUCGGUUACAAGAAGGAAUUAUGAGACCAGAACAGUACAUCCAGAAGAGCCAGCAAAGCAUACCACGCCAUGGACAUACAAAUGGGAUGCCAGAAACGAUAAUAGAUUUUAAACAUGA